rnacentral:lncRNA from 1 species
GAAAAGAUAACAUCCACCUUUAUUUAAAGUAAACAAACUCUCAUUUCUCCCAGCUGGGCGGGGGGGUCACCAGCUGCAGAUUCAUCUUUUGACAGAAGUCUGAGUUCCCACCUUACAUGACUCAUACAGCUUUUCUUGACUUUGUACAGCUUUGUGCAUAAAUCUUCAGCUGGCUCUGUGAAUCUUUUGCUUUUUCUCCCUCUACCAGGCCUUUGCACUGGUCAUUCUCUCUGCAGGAUACUCUGUGGCCACACUGGUCCCAGGACAAACCCCUCCUGUCUUUAAGUCUUUGCACAUUUGUCCUCACCCAAGCGGGGUGCAUCUAGAGCCUCCAAAGUUCUACUCUGACCACCUGUCAGCUCCCCCACCCAGUCCAUCGCCAGAACCCCAACCCUGUUAUCCUUCUCUUCCCCUUUUUUCAUAGUACUUCACCUUCUCACAAACUACAUGAUUUACUUUCUUCUUUUGCCUUCUGUUUAGCGUCUGUCUCCUUCCAGUAGAACAGAUGCUCCACAGGCAGGAAUUUUUGGUUUAUGGAGGGAUCCCAGGCACUCAAAACAUGGCCCAGCCUCAUGCUCCACAAGCAUGUGCUGAGUAAAUAAAGGGGGCUCCUCCAAGCCUCACCAAGGCCACGGUUGCAACAGGUGGGACUCCACCUAAGGCAUGAAGGGUGGGACAUCAAAGACCCUGACAUCCUCACCAGCUCCCCAGGUUUCCUUCUAAGCUGGGGAGCAUCGACUUACAUGAGGUUCAUGCAGGAAAGUGAGCUCUGAACACUUUCUUCUCACUCAAGAUUGUGUUAUAAGACUAACCAGAGCCCAGAAAUUCCGAUGAGGGGACCUGGCUGAACUUUAGGCUUUGAGCGCCGAGUCAAGGACAUACCCAAAGAGUUUAAGUAGAUGAUGUGGAUUAAGUGCUGCAGGAAUACCCAUAGUAAGGUUUACUGGUCUUGGAAAUGUCAGAGAUCACGGACUAUAGAGCUCAAGUCACUUCAUAACACCUGUGGAAAGCCCAUAAAGGUGAGACUAAAUGUUAGGAACUGCUAAAGAAUAGCCGUGUUUAAAUUUAGUACCAAUAUUGUACAAUUAUUGAUUAUAAGGAUAAAUAUAUACGCAUGUGCUAUAAUGCUAGUACACCAGAUGAUAUAGAAAAAGUACCACAUGUGACUCACCUUCACACUAAAGAGAGUACUAGAGUACUAAUUUUUUUUUUACUUGACAUAUUUUUUAUUUAUGGAACAAGGAAUAAGCAAGAGAAUGAAAGUCUGAGUGCUCAGAGGGCAAAAUCUCAGCCCUGUUGACUGGCCACUUCUGAAUUCAAGAGAGUACUAAUCUUAAAAAUAAAAUAGUCUAACUGCCAUUACAUUUGCAUUUCUCUCAAUUGUAUUGGUGCCAAAACAUUUAAAAUAUAUAGUUAGAGAAACCAAAUCUAUUUGAGGAAAACAGACCCAUUUAAUGUUCUAAGGCCUUGCAUCCCAUCAAAUGUAACCCAAACUGAAGAGUGGGUACAAAAACAGCUACAUUAAGUUUAUACAGGAGUCUCUUUCGCUUCCCUCAGAGUUUAGUCUCCAGGUGUUAAUCUAUGUGGUAUCAGUUCCUAGCUUCACAAAUACAACUCUCCCACACUUUAUCUGGACUAUUAUAAGAGGGUGAUGAGAUAAACCAGAAAAGUCUAGCUGGCACUCAGCAUGGCAGAGCAUUAGGCGAGGGCUCCAUGUGUGGAUGCCCUUGGUGUGGGGCCAGCUCUCUCCCUGCGCCCUCGCAUUUCAUCAAUCUUGGCUGACUGGCAGCUCGGCAGCUCCCUCACCUUCCUGAGCCACAAACAGGUCCGGGCCAUCUGUGUCCUGAAGACGGUGGAGGACAAAGCACUUCCCCUGCCCCAGACUGCAGUUGACAUUCUUUAGGAAAAGACACAAGAGAACAGAUUGCGGUUCAUCUGCAGGGCAGGCCCAGACUUGGAGAAGCUGUAGGGCACACAAACCUCAGCCACACGCAGCUGAGGUCGCCUGUAAUGGCGCCAAGUCAAGAGUUUGAGUUUUUGUCUUGCCUCCAUAAAAGAGUUAAUGUGGCAUUUCUGAAAGCUCACAGAGAAGUUUCCCACAAACCACCACUGCAAAAACAAGUUCAAAAGGAGCUCAGCCCUGAACACUUUACACCACGGCCGAAUCAUCUGUGGAGCUACAAAAAACUACGCUUGAAAUGUUCAGGAAACCCUGUCAAUUCUUUUGCUUUUGAAAGAGAUUUCUGUUGUCAUCCCCACAAUUUCAAAUGUUUAAUAGUGUGCAGAAAUAGAAAAUAAUCAGACAGUGUCAACGUGAAUCAAAUCCAGGAAUUUAAGAGAAAAAAAGAUAAAAUUAAGACAAAAUUUACUUUAAUGACCACAAUUUUGCUGUAAUUUUUUAGAUUCCCUUGGCAAUUGCCCAAUUUAACCAAAACCAGUCCCGUUCAACUUGGUUGAGAUACAGUAAGUGACUGACUACAACAUUUGGAGGUGGAUUAAGGUUCACAGAAGGAAUUAAUUGAAAUCUGCACAAGCAGUUUCAUUUUUGUAUGUUUAUCGUCCUGCGAACCUAGGCACCUCAAGCUUCACUGACUUUUUUACCUCCUUCUCCCAACUCUGCAACGUCUUUAAGAUUAUGUCAAUAACAAAUCAAAGAAACCAAGACUUUUUCUAAAAUGAGUAUUUUUUGGCAUUGUCAUUACAACAGCUUGGGUUGCUGCUAUGGGCAUGGGUUCGAUCCCUGGCCUGGGAAAUUCCAUAUGCUGCAGGUGCAGCCACAAAAGCCUGAAUAUUUUUGAAUCUGGUAAAGCAAAAUUUCAGAAAAAUCCUAUACAGUUCAGGACCUUAUAAAUGAAUUAAUAUUUGGUGUCUAAUUUUCAGAAGUAUUUACAGGAAUACCUCCUUAAUAAAUGAAUUUAUGGAGACAGCCUAUCAGAAGAUAAAUAUAAAGAAAAACGUAAAUAGAGAAAAUAACUAUCACAGACGAGGAUCAGACGUUUUUUCUUCAUGACUGUUAUCCAAUUCUAAUACCGAAAAUACAAAGUUCACAGAAUUUUCAAAAGAAGUAACAAACAGGUUGACAAUUUCCAUGUGCAUUUCCUUUUGUGCUUUUUGAAUAAUCUAUGUGCAUUUUAUUGUAGUAUAUUCUGUAUACAGUAAAAGGCACUCAUUUUGAGUGAACACUGUGAUGAACUGUGACAAAUCUAUAUAAAGUCCCAAAACACCACCACAGUCAAGAAUUGGAACAUUUCCAUCACCCGCCCCCCAAAGAUAGGGAAUAUGGCCAUCACCUCUGCACCCUCCUGCAGACAGAACCUCCCAUGCUUGGUAACCAAGGAUUUCAAUGUAUGAUGAUUCCAAAAGAGCCAUGUCCUCACAAACAUCUGGUAUUGUCAGUCUUUUCAAUCUUUAGGUACUUAAAUGGACGAGUAGUGGUAUCUUGCAUUUUAACUGACGACUGAUGAUGCUGAACACCAUUUCAUGUAAUUACUGCCCAUUUGUAUACUGUCUUUUGCCAUUUUUACUUGGGUUUUGUCUUAUUGAGUUGUAAUUUGUUUUUCGAGUACUCGAUUCAAAAACUAGGUCAAAUGUAUAUGUAGCUUUUUCCUUUAUUUUCUUAAUAGUAUCUUUUGAAAAAUGAAAUUACAAGUUCGAUGAAGUUCAAUUUAUCUGAACUAGAGUUUGUGCUUUUAAUGUCCUAUCCAGGGAGUCUCUGUCAGAAAGAUUUUCUCCUGCAUUUUCUUCUAGAAGGUUUAGAUUUUUAACUUUCAUGUUUAAGGGUUUUUGUCCUUUUGUCUUUUUAGGGCCACAACCGUGGCACAUGGAGGUUCCCAGGCUAGGGGUCUAAUCAGAGCUACAGCUGCUGGCCUAUGUCAGGGCCACAGCAACACGGGAUCCAAGCCCUGUCUGUAACUUACACCACAGCUCACGGCAACGCUGGAUCCUUAACCUACUGAGUGAGGCCAGGGAUGGAACCUGCCAACCAGGCUCUCUUUCCAGCAGCAGACGUCUCAUGUUGGCUCUUGGUGGGUUUGGUAAUACAGUGUGACCCAUAAUAAUAAUUCUGCUGUUCUCUUUCUAUUGCUAUAAUAAAUUUGACAGACACUGACGAUGCUGUAUCAUCUAUCAAAGGAGCUAUAAAAUAAAUGUGAUCUUAAUAUCUUUAGAUUUAUCCAUCUAUAGAUUAAAAACUUGAAAAUAAUUCACUUACUCAGACACAACCACUUUCUAACCACUCCCCAGUGUUAAAUGCAUUUAAGUAGUAUGUAUUUCUGAGGUAUUUGUAUACUUUAUCAACUAAAUCUAUCAUUGAAACAUAUAUGUAAGUUUGGUCAAAACACUUGGUAUUCAGGUUGCUUAUCUAGAACAAAAAGUAUUUUUUAAAGCUCAAAAUGCCUUUUCACAAAAGGUACUGGUCUUACUAUUUUAAAAACAAUGUUAGAUACAAUAUGGCAUAUUACAGUGUCAUAUUGCAUGUAUUAGCAUGUUAAAGAGUAUAUGAGAAAGAUAAACAUACUACAUUUUGAAAAAAAAAAAACUCAUUUUUUCCCCCUUCCUUCUCUUGGAAAUAAUAUUAACUAUGAGUAAAUUUUAAAAGUAAACAGGAAUUUUAUUUGCUUUCUUCAGAACAAGGUAUAUUCUCCAGUCACAUAUUCAUCCAGAGAUAUCUCACGAGCUUGUAUGCCUCAAUCUACAUUUUUAGGAAUGGAGUAAAAUGGUUAGACUUUCUUACACCAUUAUAUAUUACAGUGGUAAUUUAUAAACUAAUAGUUUGUAAACAAACGCUGCCCAAGAAACAGUAUUAACUAAGUAGCUUCUUUGGAGUAUUUAAACUUUACUUUGGUGAUAAUUCCUAAUUUAACAGUGGUCUCAUGUUAAUAUGACACCAAAACACUUCCUUGGGUAACAGAGUAAUAUGAUGUGACAGUAUGUUUUCAAUUAAAUUUUCUGGCAAUCCAUAGAGCAUCCUGAAGUAUGUUAAAUAUUUCCACUGAGGGUUUACAUUUGUUCCUAUUUUAUAUUGCUUAAAUUGUUGGAUUUUAGCAUGAAAAUCAACAUUAGCUUGCAUUUACAUUCAUCAGUCUGCAAGCCACAGCCAGCUUCUUCCGGAAACUGCUGAGCAUCAUGAGGGUGUAGGCUUUGCCCCUGCACACGACACAUGAUGACGCUGAGACAGGGAUGUUGCAGAUCACCAACUGCCCCCAGAUUCCACCCCAACAACCAUUCUAUGAGAGGGCCGAGAAGAUGUCAGUUUCACUUUACAAAGAAGAAAAGGGAAAUUCGAAGGUCAUCAUUUCAGCCUUGACUAGACUGGUCCCAGCACUCUGAUGAUGAUAACCUAAAACUUGUGCCCUCUGCCUGCAAGAGCCUGGUCUAAGGUUGAAAGGCCAUAGGUCCCACUUUUCUCUUCACAUCAGGCAACCAUCAUUUUCUAUACUGCCCUGGCUCCUUAGUGGCCCAAGGCGAGAUGCAGCAGAGGGUCCCAUGCGAGGCCCCUGUUUUAAUGCUCUACACCACACAUGCAGCUCCUCCACCCAGUUCUCCCUGGAAAGGAAACCAGUUCUCUGUAUUGAAAGACAAGCAGUAUUUUUUCCAAUUUUCUUAUGAGUUCUUUUUUUUUUUAAAUUCUGAACAGUGCCUCUGGAGUGGGAAGACUUUGAGCCUGACUCACUUGUUUCUUAGUUCCCAGAGUUUUAGGACAGUUUAUUAGUUGGGAGACUAGAGAGUAGAGAUUUUCCUUCUUAUUUUUUGUAAGCUUUUCUAAAGGAUAAUAUUAAUUUUAGCGAUUGUCAUAAUUGAUCAGGAACCCAAAGAUCUAUAUUUUGUUCUCAUUGUUGCUAUCAAUGAACAAGUGGCAGACUCUAAAUUUUCCUCACUGCAAUUACAGCAUAAAGAAAACAAUGUCUAAUAUAAUGUAGGAAACACUUGUAACUUUAAAGAAACUUGCAUUUAGGUUUAAAAAUAUUACAAGAGUUGUUGAGAAGUUGAUUUAAAUUAGUAUACUUUUCUUUUUACUCAAUAUUCUAAGGAAAUCAGUUCUCUGUAUUGAAAGACAAGCAGUAUUUUUUUCCAAUUUUCUUAUGAGUUCUUUUUUUUUAAAAUUCUGAACAGGAACAUAUUCAUGUUUAAAGGUUAUUUUAAGAAAGUGAGUUAUCAGAGUAGUGAACAAAGUGAAACGUUAAACUCUUUUGUUUACUACAAAAGCAGGACUCACUCUUCACUGCCUUUGAUCCUUCAAAACCAUCCAGCAGAGUGGAUCAUACUCACCUCAAUGAAUACAUGAUCUGUAAUUGAUGGCAGCAAUUCUAGCCAAGAACUUAGCAUUAAGUCCCAGAAACAAGGUAGGAUUUUCCUGAUCAUCAUUUAAGUUUUUAAGUUUUGAGCAUUAUGGCACAUAGUUGGUUUUCAAUAUUCUUUAUUGGAUGUUGAAUGAAUAAAGCUUGCACAGCAAUAAAUUUAAAUUAUGUUUUAGGACCUAUAAAAGGGAUAUAAAUAUACUCACAUGCUAAGUGUAAAUGAACUCUAAAUAUAAAGCACAUAAAAUUUUGAUCUUGGAUUAAAUGUUGGAAAUAAAACCAAUACUCAUGUAUUGUAAUCAAAAAUUAAGCAUUUAAUUUACUGGUCUUGUUAAAUUUUAUG